ACAUGGGGCAGCUACACAUGCAGUCGGACGGUAGCACAGAGGAGCUUGCUCCUUGGGUGACGAGUGGCGGACGGGUGAGUAAUGUCUGGGGAUCUGCCCGAUAGAGGGGGAUAACCACUGGAAACGGUGGCUAAUACCGCAUAACGUCGCAAGACCAAAGAGGGGGACCUUCGGGCCUCUCACUAUCGGAUGAACCCAGAUGGGAUUAGCUAGUAGGCGGGGUAAUGGCCCACCUAGGCGACGAUCCCUAGCUGGUCUGAGAGGAUGACCAGCCACACUGGAACUGAGACACGGUCCAGACUCCUACGGGAGGCAGCAGUGGGGAAUAUUGCACAAUGGGCGCAAGCCUGAUGCAGCCAUGCCGCGUGUAUGAAGAAGGCCUUCGGGUUGUAAAGUACUUUCAGCGGGGAGGAAGGCGGUGCGGUUAAUAACCGCACCGAUUGACGUUACCCGCAGAAGAAGCACCGGCUAACUCCGUGCCAGCAGCCGCGGUAAUACGGAGGGUGCAAGCGUUAAUCGGAAUUACUGGGCGUAAAGCGCACGCAGGCGGUCUGUUAAGUCAGAUGUGAAAUCCCCGGGCUUAACCUGGGAACUGCAUUUGAAACUGGCAGGCUUGAGUCUUGUAGAGGGGGGUAGAAUUCCAGGUGUAGCGGUGAAAUGCGUAGAGAUCUGGAGGAAUACCGGUGGCGAAGGCGGCCCCCUGGACAAAGACUGACGCUCAGGUGCGAAAGCGUGGGGAGCAAACAGGAUUAUAUACCCUGGUAGUCCACGCCGUACACGAUGUCUACUUGGAGGUUGUUCCCUUGAAGAGUGCCUUCCGGAGCUCACGCGUUAAGUCUACCGCCUGGGGAGUACGGCCGCAAGGUUAAAACUCAAAUGAAUUGACGGGGGCCCGCACAGCGGUGGAACAUGUGGUAUUAUCUCAAUGCACGCGCAGACUCUUACCUACUCUUG
rnacentral:rRNA from 1 species